UAAUACGGAGGAUCCAAGCGUUAUCCGGAAUCAUUGGGUUUAAAGGGUCCGUAGGCGGGUUUAUAAGUCAGUGGUGAAAGCCCAUCGCUCAACGAUGGAACGGCCAUUGAUACUGUAGAUCUUGAAUUAUUAGGAAGUAACUAGAAUAUGUAGUGUAGCGGUGAAAUGCUUAGAGAUUACAUGGAAUACCAAUUGCGAAGGCAGGUUACUACUAAUGGAUUGACGCUGAUGGACGAAAGCGUGGGUAGCGAACAGGAUUAGAUACCCUGGUAGUCCACGCCGUAAACGAUGGAUACUAGCUGUUCGGAGCAAUCUGAGUGGCUAAGCGAAAGUGAUAAGUAUCCCACCUGGGGAGUACGUUCGCAAGAAUG
rnacentral:rRNA from 1 species